rnacentral:rRNA from 1 species
GGGUUGUGAGGUUAAGCGACUAAGCGUACACGGUGGAUGCCCUGGCAGUCAGAGGCGAUGAAGGACGUGCUAAUCUGCGAUAAGCGUCGGUAAGGUGAUAUGAACCGUUAUAACCGGCGAUUUCCGAAUGGGGAAACCCAGUGUGAUUCGUCACACUAUCAUUAACUGAAUCCAUAGGUUAAUGAGGCGAACCGGGGGAACUGAAACAUCUAAGUACCCCGAGGAAAAGAAAUCAACCGAGAUUCCCCCAGUAGCGGCGAGCGAACGGGGAGGAGCCCAGAGCCUGAAUCAGUGUGUGUGUUAGUGGAAGCGUCUGGAAAGGCGCGCGAUACAGGGUGACAGCCCCGUACACAAAAAUGCACAUGCUGUGAGCUCGAUGAGUAGGGCGGGACACGUGGUAUCCUGUCUGAAUAUGGGGGGACCAUCCUCCAAGGCUAAAUACUCCUGACUGACCGAUAGUGAACCAGUACCGUGAGGGAAAGGCGAAAAGAACCCCGGCGAGGGGAGUGAAAAAGAACCUGAAACCGUGUACGUACAAGCAGUGGGAGCACGCUUAGGCGUGUGACUGCGUACCUUUUGUAUAAUGGGUCAGCGACUUAUAUUCUGUAGCAAGGUUAACCGAAUAGGGGAGCCGAAGGGAAACCGAGUCUUAACUGGGCGUUAAGUUGCAGGGUAUAGACCCGAAACCCGGUGAUCUAGCCAUGGGCAGGUUGAAGGUUGGGUAACACUAACUGGAGGACCGAACCGACUAAUGUUGAAAAAUUAGCGGAUGACUUGUGGCUGGGGGUGAAAGGCCAAUCAAACCGGGAGAUAGCUGGUUCUCCCCGAAAGCUAUUUAGGUAGCGCCUCGUGAAUUCAUCUCCGGGGGUAGAGCACUGUUUCGGCAAGGGGGUCAUCCCGACUUACCAACCCGAUGCAAACUGCGAAUACCGGAGAAUGUUAUCACGGGAGACACACGGCGGGUGCUAACGUCCGUCGUGAAGAGGGAAACAACCCAGACCGCCAGCUAAGGUCCCAAAGUCAUGGUUAAGUGGGAAACGAUGUGGGAAGGCCCAGACAGCCAGGAUGUUGGCUUAGAAGCAGCCAUCAUUUAAAGAAAGCGUAAUAGCUCACUGGUCGAGUCGGCCUGCGCGGAAGAUGUAACGGGGCUAAACCAUGCACCGAAGCUGCGGCAGCGACACUAUGUGUUGUUGGGUAGGGGAGCGUUCUGUAAGCCUGUGAAGGUGUGCUGUGAGGCAUGCUGGAGGUAUCAGAAGUGCGAAUGCUGACAUAAGUAACGAUAAAGCGGGUGAAAAGCCCGCUCGCCGGAAGACCAAGGGUUCCUGUCCAACGUUAAUCGGGGCAGGGUGAGUCGACCCCUAAGGCGAGGCCGAAAGGCGUAGUCGAUGGGAAACAGGUUAAUAUUCCUGUACUUGGUGUUACUGCGAAGGGGGGACGGAGAAGGCUAUGUUGGCCGGGCGACGGUUGUCCCGGUUUAAGCGUGUAGGCUGGUUUUCCAGGCAAAUCCGGAAAAUCAAGGCUGAGGCGUGAUGACGAGGCACUACGGUGCUGAAGCAACAAAUGCCCUGCUUCCAGGAAAAGCCUCUAAGCAUCAGGUAACAUCAAAUCGUACCCCAAACCGACACAGGUGGUCAGGUAGAGAAUACCAAGGCGCUUGAGAGAACUCGGGUGAAGGAACUAGGCAAAAUGGUGCCGUAACUUCGGGAGAAGGCACGCUGAUAUGUAGGUGAAGCGACUUGCUCGUGGAGCUGAAAUCAGUCGAAGAUACCAGCUGGCUGCAACUGUUUAUUAAAAACACAGCACUGUGCAAACACGAAAGUGGACGUAUACGGUGUGACGCCUGCCCGGUGCCGGAAGGUUAAUUGAUGGGGUCAGCGCAAGCGAAGCUCUUGAUCGAAGCCCCGGUAAACGGCGGCCGUAACUAUAACGGUCCUAAGGUAGCGAAAUUCCUUGUCGGGUAAGUUCCGACCUGCACGAAUGGCGUAAUGAUGGCCAGGCUGUCUCCACCCGAGACUCAGUGAAAUUGAACUCGCUGUGAAGAUGCAGUGUACCCGCGGCAAGACGGAAAGACCCCGUGAACCUUUACUAUAGCUUGACACUGAACAUUGAGCCUUGAUGUGUAGGAUAGGUGGGAGGCUUUGAAGUGUGGACGCCAGUCUGCAUGGAGCCGACCUUGAAAUACCACCCUUUAAUGUUUGAUGUUCUAACGUUGACCCGUAAUCCGGGUUGCGGACAGUGUCUGGUGGGUAGUUUGACUGGGGCGGUCUCCUCCUAAAGAGUAACGGAGGAGCACGAAGGUUGGCUAAUCCUGGUCGGACAUCAGGAGGUUAGUGCAAUGGCAUAAGCCAGCUUGACUGCGAGCGUGACGGCGCGAGCAGGUGCGAAAGCAGGUCAUAGUGAUCCGGUGGUUCUGAAUGGAAGGGCCAUCGCUCAACGGAUAAAAGGUACUCCGGGGAUAACAGGCUGAUACCGCCCAAGAGUUCAUAUCGACGGCGGUGUUUGGCACCUCGAUGUCGGCUCAUCACAUCCUGGGGCUGAAGUAGGUCCCAAGGGUAUGGCUGUUCGCCAUUUAAAGUGGUACGCGAGCUGGGUUUAGAACGUCGUGAGACAGUUCGGUCCCUAUCUGCCGUGGGCGCUGGAGAACUGAGGGGGGCUGCUCCUAGUACGAGAGGACCGGAGUGGACGCAUCACUGGUGUUCGGGUUGUCAUGCCAAUGGCACUGCCCGGUAGCUAAAUGCGGAAGAGAUAAGUGCUGAAAGCAUCUAAGCACGAAACUUGCCCCGAGAUGAGUUCUCCCUGACUCCUUGAGAGUCCUGAAGGAACGUUGAAGACGACGACGUUGAUAGGCCGGGUGUGUAAGCGCAGCGAUGCGUUGAGCUAACCGGUACUAAUGAACCGUGAGGCUUAACCUUACAACGCCGAAG